GGAAGACAAGUCUUCCCUUUGGCCAUUUGAAGAAGAAGAAGAAGAAGAAGAAGAAGAAGAAAGAGCCUAGAGGGGAUGGAAGCAAGUGAAGUCUUGCCAAGUCAAGUUGUUGAAGCUCUCUUGAAGAUAAAGAUUGUGGAAAAUCAAAAAGAAUAGAGGUAUCUCAUGUGCAAGAAGGAAGGGAUCUUGGAAGGUUAAGCAUACUUGAUGAGAUGAAGACCCUAAGGAAUUCAUGUAAUUUAGCUUGGGUUUUGGAAGCCUAAGCAUGUUGUAAAUUACUUUUAUUUUUUUAUGUAUGAUGUAGCAAAUAUAUUGUAAAGCUACAAUCUUAAAUAAAGGGGA